rnacentral:rRNA from 1 species
GACGAGAUUGUCCAGCUUGCUGGGCAUGAAAGUGGCGCACGGGUGCGUAACGCGUAUGCAACCUACCUUUAUCAGGGGGAUAGCCCGGAGAAAUCCGGAUUAAUACCGCAUAAAAUCACAGCACUGCAUAGUGCAAUGAUCAAACAUUUAUGGGAUAAAGAUGGGCAUGCGUGUCAUUAGCUAGUUGGCGGGGUAACGGCCCACCAAGGCGACGAUGACUAGGGGAUCUGAGAGGAUGGCCCCCCACACUGGUACUGAGACACGGACCAGACUCCUACGGGAGGCAGCAGUAAGGAAUAUUGGUCAAUGGAGGCAACUCUGAACCAGCCAUGCCGCGUGCAGGAAGACUGCCCUAUGGGUUGUAAACUGCUUUUAUCCGGGAAUAAACCUUUCUACGUGUAGGAAGCUGAAUGUACCGGAAGAAUAAGGAUCGGCUAACUCCGUGCCAGCAGCCGCGGUAAUACGGAGGAUCCAAGCGUUAUCCGGAUUUAUUGGGUUUAAAGGGUGCGUAGGCGGCCUGUUAAGUCAGGGGUGAAAGACGGUAGCUCAACUAUCGCAGUGCCCUUGAUACUGAUGGGCUUGAAUGGACUAGAGGUAGGCGGAAUGAGACAAGUAGCGGUGAAAUGCAUAGAUAUGUCUCAGAACACCGAUUGCGAAGGCAGCUUACUAUGGUCUUAUUGACGCUGAGGCACGAAAGCGUGGGGAUCAAACAGGAUUAGAUACCCUGGUAGUCCACGCCCUAAACGAUGAACACUCGCUGUUGGCGAUACACAGUCAGCGGCUAAGCGAAAGCGUUAGUGUUCCA